AAGCCCCGCCCCUCGGAUGUGAUAGGACCGGCUGAAGAGGCGCCGCCCCCUCGAGCUCCCGCCUCUCUUUAAAGGGGUCGCACGGGAACAUGUGACUCAAAGAAGGAACGAAAAAGGACCGGAAAGACAGAUGAAGGUGGACGGAGGCUUGACGUGCUACUGGACGGUGAAAUGAAUCAUUAAACCGGAGAUGACACUGACCUGAACACGCUUCAUGCUUCCACAGGACGACACACAACUUUCCUGUAAAACAAAGAGGAAAACCUUUAUAACACAGACGAGACGGAGGGAAUCACGAAGAGUUACUAACAGAUCAUCUCUGGGACCCGUUGACGCUCCUCAUGUGCUCAGUGGUCAGUGUAGGUCCUGCCCACAUCAGCAGCUACAUCUGCCUACUGGGUCUCUGAUGCACGUCUGACACGAGGGACUAACAGCAUCAGCAAAUGACCGUCGGAUGUGGUUUUGAACCUGGCACACAGUGUAGAGAUCUGUGCUUGUCAAAUUACAGCUACAUUGUCUGCUGGGUUUCACAGCCACGUCAUGAUCACAGAGGUGCAUUCAACAGGAAGUUCACUUCCAAACUUACUGUGGAUGAUAUUUCAAAGAUAAACAUCUUUAAUCUCCUCUCAAAGCCCACCUGAUGUCAUCUUUUCAUUAAUCAAUCCCACGUCGGGUCUGGCUCAGUGUAUAUUGCCGUUUUCAUGUGGUGUAAAUUACUGUAAUAAUAUCAUGCUUUGAAUAAAACGUUCAGAUGU